rnacentral:rRNA from 1 species
AUGAAGCCUCCUGCAUUGCCUAUCCGCGACCUCGUUCUUGUCCUGGCCCUCGCCUGCGCCGGCAUUGCACCGGCGACGGCAGAGAGCGGCGGCGGCGGUCGGUGGGACGUACUGCAGCGCAGCAUCGGCGUGUCGGCGAUGCACAUGCAGCUCCUGCACAACGACCGCGUCAUCAUCUUCGACCGCACCGACUUCGGGCAGUCCAACCUCUCCCUCCCCGACGGCCGCUGCCGCCGCAACCCCAGGGAGCGCGUGCUCCCCGUCGACUGCACCGCGCACUCCGCCGAGUACGACGUCGCGUCCAACACGUUCCGCCCGCUCACCGUCUUCACCGACACCUGGUGCUCCUCGGGCACCGUCGCGCCUGACGGCACCCUCGUCCAGACCGGCGGGUGGAACGACGGGUACCGCAACGUGCGCGCCAUGCGCGCGUGCGACGGCGGAGACGACGACGGCGGCAGCUGCGACUGGAACGAGACGCAGGACGCGCUCGCCGCGAACCGGUGGUACGCCACCAACCAGAUCCUCCCCGACGGCCGUGCCUUCAUCGUCGGCGGCCGCAGGCAGUUCAACUACGAGUUCUUCCCCAAGGCGGAUGCUUCCGACGCCUCGGCCAUCGCAUUGCCGUUCCUGGUUCAAACUAAGGACCCAGAGGAGAACAAUCUGUAUCCUUUCGUCCACCUGAACAUCGAUGGCAACCUUUUCAUCUUUGCCAAGAACCGUGCCGUGCUUCUCGACUACAAGAAGAACAAGAUCGUCCGGACGUACCCUGAGCUGGCCGGCGGCGACCCCAGGAACUACCCCAGCUCGGGCUCGUCGGUGCUGCUGCCCCUGAAGCCGUCGCCCACCGAGGCCGAGGUGCUGGUCUGCGGCGGCGCGCCCGCGGGCUCCUACAACUCGACCAAGGAGAAGACCUUCUUCCCGGCGCUGGUGACCUGCGGGCGGAUCAAGAUCACGGACGCUUCACCGGCGUGGGUGAUCGAGAGAAUGCCGUCGCCGCGGGUGAUGGGGGACAUGAUCCUGCUGCCAAACGGCGCCGAGGUGGCGAUCAUCAACGGCGCCAUGGACGGCAGCGCCGGGUGGGAGGCCGCCAACACCCCGGCCUACGCACCCGUCAUGUACCGGCCAGACCACGCGCCCGGGGACCGGUUCGAGGAGCAGAGCUCGACCGACAUCGCGCGGCUGUACCACUCGUCAGCGAUCCUCCUCCGCGAUGGCCGGCUGCUGGUCGGCGGGAGCAACCCGCACAUCUACUACAAUUUCAGCAACGUGCAGUACCCGACAGAGCUCAGCCUGGAGGCCUUCUCGCCGGAGUACCUGGACAGCUCCAACGACGCCCUCCGCCCAAAGAUCACUGACCCCUCGCCGGCCGGCCCGCCGGUGAGCGUGAAUUACGGCGACUCGAUGACCCUGCAGUUCGAGGUGCCAGCGGUCGCGCCGCGAAGGAGACCGCGCGGCGGGGGCGACGGCGGCCUCGGUGCUCUCGGCCUCGUGUCGGUGACGAUGGUGGCGCCGUCGUUCACGACGCACUCGUUCGGGAUGAACCAGAGGCUGCUGUUCCUGGACGUGGCGGAGACGACGGCGUUGCACAGUGCGGGCGCGUACGAGGCGUCGGUGGUGAUGCCGGCGACGGCCGUCCUGGCGCCGCCGGGGUACUACAUGGUGUUCGUGGUGAACGGGCACAUCCCCAGCGAGGGGGUGUGGGUCCACAUAGAGUGA